CCGCCCGUCACACCAUGGGAGUUGGUCAUACCUUAAGACUGUGAGCUAACCGCAAGGAGGCUGCAGGCCACGGUAUGGUCAGCGACUGGGGUG
rnacentral:rRNA from 1 species